GACGAACGCUGGCGGCGUGCUUAACACAUGCAAGUCGAACGGAAAGGCCCUGCUUUUGUGGGGUGCUCGAGUGGCGAACGGGUGAGUAACACGUGAGUAACCUGCCCUUGACUUUGGGAUAACUUCAGGAAACUGGGGCUAAUACCGGAUAGGAGCUCCUGCUGCAUGGUGGGGGUUGGAAAGUUUCGGCGGUUGGGGAUGGACUCGCGGCUUAUCAGCUUGUUGGUGGGGUAGUGGCUUACCAAGGCUUUGACGGGUAGCCGGCCUGAGAGGGUGACCGGCCACAUUGGGACUGAGAUACGGCCCAGACUCCUACGGGAGGCAGCAGUGGGGAAUAUUGCACAAUGGGCGGAAGCCUGAUGCAGCAACGCCGCGUGCGGGAUGACGGCCUUCGGGGUGUAAACCGCUUUCGCCUGUGAUGAAGCGUGAGUGACGGUAAUGGGUAAAGAAGCACCGGCUAACUACG
rnacentral:rRNA from 1 species